GGCCAGGGCUCAAACCCACACCAUAGCAACAACCUAAACCACAGCAGUGACAAUGCCAGAUCCUUUACCCACUGAGCCACCAGGGAGCUUCUGUUUUGCUUUGUUUAUUUUCUUUUUCUUUUUUCCUUCAUUUUGGAGCAAGAAAAACUAAGGUACAGGAAAAAAUUUUAAAUCUUCAAGACACUUAGUGAGUCACAUUUGGAAAGUGACACAAGCAGGAUUUUCACAAGCAAGAUACCAAGUGACCAUAUCGUUAUCAGCAUAGGUUCAACAGGUGUGCUAGAUGCUGUAAAUCAUGAUUUGUCCAGUUAUCUCCAUCAUGCGCCACCAUUCUAUCAAAAAAUUUUAGUCCCACAGGGCACUCCCUUUGCAAAGGACAUUUUUUUGUCAACAGCAAGGAACAGCAAUGAAUAUGCACCUGACUGGGAAGAUACUAAAGAUGAGAAGGAAGACUUCCCAAGGUAGGAAGACUAAGCCUGAAAAAAAACCCAGCAGUCAAUUCUGCCCAGGGAGAGAAAAAAACAGGAGCCCAGGAGGAUCCCCAGUAAAGACUUCAAGCAUACAACUUGAUGGAUCUCUUUCAGUUCUUACAUUUAUCCUUCUAUCUAGAACAGUAGCAUUUAUUUAUAAUGACAUUUUAUAUCAUUUUAUAACUAUUAAAUUGUAAAAUUAUUAACAUUCCUCCUUCUUAGAAAUAAAUUCUUAUUCUGCUAUGGCUCACUAUGAGUUAUGGACUAUUUUCUAAAAGUAUUUAUGCUUCUGGUUUUAUUUCUCCAGAAUUACACCAAAUAUGAUACUAAGCCCUGCGUGGCCUUAAGGAAAAGAUGCCACAGGGUCUCCCUGGUGAGGGGUAACAGCAGCCACUGCUCGCAUAUCCUGGUUUGGGAAUAUGCAGACCUGAUUCCAGCUGUGUGUGUACUGGCCACAGACCUGAAAGGGUCAUCUACCUUCUAAGAUACUGUGAUGCCUCACUACAGGAUAUUUAAUUCUAUGGGUAAAUUGAGUUUAAAACCACAUAGCUGAUUAAGCUAAUACCAAGAAAUAAAAAAACAGCAUUGUUUUAGCUUAGAUUGAGCAUCAGUAGAAAAAACCUGCUGUCCAGCAUCACUGUCAAAUUUGCCAACUGAUGUGGCAACAGAUAUUCCAGGGUUAAAGUAUUUAUUUGUAAGAUUUCAACUAACUCAUCAGCUGGGUUGUGGAAUGAAAGACUGAACAGACAAUUGCAAUGAACAGUAAUCCCAAAGUAACAGCUUGGAUCAACCCUGGUACUUGAUGGAGAAUAGGAUACAGUUUAUGAAUUGUCCUUCAGAAUCCUUGGUGUGUCUAAUUGUGGGUUAGGAGUCACAGGCUUGAAGAGCAUGGAGGAAACUCUACAUAGCCAUGUCAACCAUUCAGACAUUGGGGGCAGGAGAGGGGCAGCAAUCACAAUGACUAACCUCCCCCCACCCUGCAACAAAACCUCAUCAAGAAUAUUGAACAACUGCUUACUAUUUCAUACAGUAAGCUGCCACAGAAUAGUAGUCAUUUUAAAAAGGUAAGAGGGAAAAGGGGACUGCCAAGUGAAAUUCUGUUCCUUGAUGCAGAACAGACACUAAUAACUUGGCAGAAAAAUGUUCAACUCAUGCACAGAUAACUCAUAUUCCUUUAAAUAAAUAUGCAUGUAAAAUUUAUUACUUUUUUUUAUCUUAACAAUGGGACCCCAGAAACAACCUUUCGAAUCAAAGAACACCAGCAAUUUGAAGUAUGCCAAUUAAAUCUAGAUUUAUGACUAAAUUUAUUAAUAGGUCUUAUUACCAUACCCAGAAAAUAGCAAUAUAUGGAGUUCCCAUUGUGGCUCAGUGGAAACAAAUCUGACUAGCAACCAUGAGGAUGCAGGUUCAAGCCCUGGUCUUUCUCAGUAGAUUAAGGAUCUGGCAUUGCCAUGAGCUGUGGUUUAGGUCGCAGAAGAGGUCUGGAUCCUGCAUUGCUGUGGCUGUGGUUUAGACUGGUGGCUACAGCUCCAAUUUGACCCCUAGCCUGGGAACCUCUAUAUGCCUUGGGUGUGGCCCUAAAAAGACAAAGAAAGAAAGAGAGAAAAAGAAAGAAAGAAAAUAGCAAUAUAUGUUUUACAGUAAAGAGAUAAGAAAACAUUUUACACGUACAUUAUUAUUUUUCAAGCAAAGUUUUUAUUAAAGGAAAGCAGAUAGCUCCCAGGGUUACUGGGAGGGGGGAGAAAAGCCACUCUACAUGUACAUUAUGAUGAUGUACUAUAUUCAACAAUAAAUGUGGGGUCAAAUGCCUCAGAGUCAAUACACAUCAGAACAAAAAAUUCCAUCCAAUUAUCAAAUCUCUAGUACUGACAUUAACCUUUCUAGUUCAAGUAUGCAUGUGUUCUCAAUGAAAAUGAAGCUGAUAAAACUGGACUAAUAUAUGAUAUUUUAGGCAUUUCUCCUAUCUUUUAAGAAAAUGUAUUUUGGCUAAUGCUAUUCCUCUGUCAAACUCAUUACCCAUAUGGAAUUUCAGUACAGGCCUGAUUCCUAUUUGACUUACACAGAACUAAUAUUUGAACAAUAUCUACAUGAUGUCCAUAAGGAAACAACUUAUAAGGGAGGCAGACACCAGAAGUAAGAGAGGCUACAGCUCUAUUAUCUGUAAAAAGUUCACCACACUAUUAUCACUAAAAAGUUCACCUAUAAAAAUGAAAAGACAGAGAACUAUAACGCAGAUGAGGGAGAAAGAAAAAAACCCAGAAAAAUAGCCACGUGAUCAGGAGAUUCUCAGCCUCCUGGAAAAAGACUUUAGACUGUUGAUGCUGAAGAUGAUGCAAGACAUUGGAAAUAAACUGGAGGCAAAGAUGGAUAACUUACAGGAAACACUGACCAAAGAGAUACAAGAUAUAAAACUUAAACAAGAAGAGAUGCAAAAUACAAUCACUGAAAUAAAAAAUUUGCUAGAAGCAGCCAACAGCAGAAUACAGGAGGCAGAAGAACAAAUAAGUGAGGUGGAGGACAGAUUAGUGGAAAUUACGGAUGUAGAACAGAAAAGAGAAAAAAGAUCAAAAACAAAUGAAGAGAGUCUCAGAGAACUCUGGGACAACAUUAAACACACCAACAUCUGUAUUACAGGGGUGCCAGAAAGAAGAAGAGAGAGAGAAGGGGACAGAAAAACCAUUCCAAGAGAUAAUAGCCGAAUACCUCACUAACGUGGGAAAGGAACUCACUCAAAUCCAGGAAGCACAAUGAGUACCACAUAAAAUAAAUCCAAGGAGGAAUACACCAAGACACAUAUUAAUCAAACUGAUCAAAAUUAAAGACAAAGAGAAAAUAUUGAAAGCAGCUAGGGAAAAGAAACAAAUAACAUACAAGGAAACCCUGAUAAGGUUACCGGCAAAUUUUUCAGCAGAAACUCUGCAGGCCAGAAGGGAGUGGCAUGAUAUACUUAACGUUAUUAAAGGAAAAAAUCUCCAACCAAGAUUAAUCUGCCCAGCAAGGCUCUCAUUUAGAUUUGAAGGAGAAAUCAAAAGCUUCACAGAU
rnacentral:lncRNA from 1 species